CCUCAGGACAUUGACUUAGCCUUGACGCAUGAAACAAAAUGACAAAUGAACUCCGGACAAAACAAUGUCGCCGCUACAUGCAACCGUCGAAUGAAGACGAAUUUGAAUUUUCCGACUCUCCCUCGACCAAUAUAAAUAAACGAACACGAUCGCGAACGACGAGCGUCUACCAAGUUACGCGACGAGCCUUUACGAGUAUUCCGCGAUUUUAUUUUGCGAUUUAUACUUCGUACCAACGACUCACGUUUACUUAUCGAUUUAAAUAUAUUCGACGGUUACAACAACGAGUAAUCUCGUCAUUAAUUCUCAAGUACCUACAUCCUCUUCACAUAAACAUCUACACGAUUGGGUAUUGCUGU